ensembl:lncRNA
GGAUCUUCUCUAACUGCUACUCUUACAUAGCUUUCCAGUCAAGGAUGGUAAGGACCUCUGCGAGGGGAAGCCAGCAACCAUGUCUGCACUGAGAGCCUGCUCUUGGUGUCCCAGCUUGGGAGAUCUCCCUGAUGGGGGCCCUGGCCCCUUGCCUGGGAUGACUACCUUCAUUCCUCUGAUCAUAGCUGCCUGGCAUGCUCUCCUGCUUUUCAAGAUUAUUUUGCCUGCAAGGCGUCUCUCUAUAUUUACAUCACAUAGCAAUUUGUUCUGUCUUGUCUUGCUUCUCACCUUCUUAGGCACAGGAGGAAAGCAACUUAUUUCCUUGCUUCUUCUGACAAACACAUGCUCUCCAGAGCAGACAGAUGCCUUAAAAUCAGAUAUAGGGCAUCAGUUCAUCUUUUGGGUUCAGCUGUAGCAUAUAAAGCAUUUGCUGGCUCUGGUCUAAUGCUUUUUGACGUUGUCAGACCCUCUUCAGUUAACUUCUGCCUUGAAACCAACUUGACAGCAAGUAUUGUUCCACAUUUAUUAAUACUGUACAUGUCAUCUUCAGACUGACAUGUUUCAAAGCCAGGCAUCAGCUGUGUUCAGCUCUGGCUUGAAAAAAAAUAUGCAGACAACAGCACAGACCUCCUGCUACUAACAAGUAAAUAGAUAAAUAAGCUAGUAGAUCAAAGGGGAUAAUGAAGGAUGGCUGCACACACCAGAACCCAUUCAAUGUCAGCAGCAGGAUGACUGAGAGCAAGAUGGCUGGAAGGGAAAGGGACUGGGGACUGCCACCUCUCUUCUGGCAUUGGCACACAAUGAAAUUGUCUCAGGAUGUCUCAUGGAAGCACUGUCUUAAUGCAAGUACUUGUUAGAAGGAAAAUGGAAAUCAAAGACAGAACUGGAAAACCUCUGUGUCCUGUUUGGUGUUUCUUUGGAAGGUGUGGAUAUAUGGAGACAAGCUUGAGGGAUAGGAUCUCGUAUGUCUGCAGAGGAUUUAAUGGGUGAAAGAAGUGUGUGCAUAUGCAGCAGCUGCAGCACACACUGGAGCAAGUGGAUGUAUAAUCUAUUUGGAGAUAACUGGGUAGUUC